rnacentral:lncRNA from 13 species
GUUACAGUGCUGGAGCCGGAGUGCCCAAUGGAAACGGUGCCAAACCCAAUGGUUAUGGUGCUCCUGCAGCUAUGUCCAAUGGAAAUGGUGCUAAACUCAAUGGUUAAUCUCCCUUUUUUUCUUUCAUGCCAAUUUUUGGUUGUUGUGCUUCAGCAAGUAGUCUGCAUUAGUACUUUUUCAGAGAUUCAGUAAGUGAUACAACUUUGACUAUUGGUUUUAACCUGUCUGAUCUCUAGGUUAUUAUGGUGCUCCUGCAGCUGUGCCUAAUGGAAAUGGUGCUAAACCCAAUGGUAAAUUACCCACUUAUCUGCACUAUGUCAUAUCGGAUUUAUUUGUUGAGAUCUGGUACAAUCAUGCAUUUUCUGUAACACUUUGGCAUCCCUGUUGAAGGAUAUGGUGCUCCAGCUGCUGUACCCUAUGGCCAAAGGUCAAAAGGUAAAUCACGUCUUUUUUUUCCCUUUGAGUGUCAAUUGUGUGUGUUAGUAAUUAUAUAGGUAUUAGGUUUUCAGAGGUUCAGGAAGUGACACAACUACCAUGUGGUUCGAGUUAACAGCUGUUGUUAACUGUUGUUAACAGUUCGAGUUAACAGUUUGUCUGAUCUCUAGGUUAUGCUAAACACAAUGGUAAAAUGAUCCCCUUAUCUGUACUACUACCAUAUCAGAUGUAUUUGUUUAUCUGGUACAAUCAUGCUUUCUCUGUAACACUGACGUCCCUGUUGCAUGCUAUUCUGCUCCAGCUGCUGUACCCAAUGGAAAUGGUCAAAAAUCAAAAGGUUAUGGUGCUCCUGCAGCUGUGCCUAAUGGAAAUGGUGCCAAGGCCAAUGGUUAUGGUGCCGGUGUGCCUAAUGGCAAUGGACAAGGAGCUAAACACAAUGGUAUAG